UCCUUAGAUGUUCUGGGCCGCACGCGCGCUACACUGACGAAUGCAACGAGCUUAUAACCUUGGCCGAAAGGUCUGGGUAAUCUCCAAAUUUCGUCGUGAUGGGGAUAGAUUAUUGCAAUUAUUAAUCUUCAACGAGGAAUGCCUAGUAAGCGCAAGUCAUCAGCUUGCGUUGAUUACGUCCCUGCCCUUUGUACACACCGCCCGUCGCUCCUACCGAUUGAAUGGUCCGGUGAAGCGUUCGGACCGUGGCCUUUGGACGGUUCGCCGUCUGUUGGCUGCGGGAAGUUCGUUAAACCUUAUCAUUUAGAGGAAGGAGAAGUCGUAACA
rnacentral:rRNA from 1 species